GGUUAAGCGACUAAGCGUACACGGUGGAUGCCCUGGCAGUCAGAGGCGAUGAAGGACGUGCUAAUCUGCGAUAAGCGUCGGUAAGGUGAUAUGAACCGUUAUAACCGGCGAUUUCCGAAUGGGGAAACCCAGUGUGUUUCGACACACUAUCAUUAACUGAAUCCAUAGGUUAAUGAGGCGAACCGGGGGAACUGAAACAUCUAAGUACCCCGAGGAAAAGAAAUCAACCGAGAUUCCCCCAGUAGCGGCGAGCGAACGGGGAGCAGCCCAGAGCCUGAAUCAGUAUGUGUGUUAGUGGAAGCGUCUGGAAAGGCGCGCGAUACAGGGUGACAGCCCCGUACACAAAAAUGCACAUGCUGUGAGCUCGAUGAGUAGGGCGGGACACGUGGUAUCCUGUCUGAAUAUGGGGGGACCAUCCUCCAAGGCUAAAUACUCCUGACUGACCGAUAGUGAACCAGUACCGUGAGGGAAAGGCGAAAAGAACCCCGGCGAGGGGAGUGAAAAAGAACCUGAAACCGUGUACGUACAAGCAGUGGGAGCACGCUUAGGCGUGUGACUGCGUACCUUUUGUAUAAUGGGUCAGCGACUUAUAUUCUGUAGCAAGGUUAACCGAAUAGGGGAGCCGAAGGGAAACCGAGUCUUAACUGGGCGUUAAGUUGCAGGGUAUAGACCCGAAACCCGGUGAUCUAGCCAUGGGCAGGUUGAAGGUUGGGUAACACUAACUGGAGGACCGAACCGACUAAUGUUGAAAAAUUAGCGGAUGACUUGUGGCUGGGGGUGAAAGGCCAAUCAAACCGGGAGAUAGCUGGUUCUCCCCGAAAGCUAUUUAGGUAGCGCCUCGUGAAUUCAUCUCCGGGGGUAGAGCACUGUUUCGGCAAGGGGGUCAUCCCGACUUACCAACCCGAUGCAAACUGCGAAUACCGGAGAAUGUUAUCACGGGAGACACACGGCGGGUGCUAACGUCCGUCGUGAAGAGGGAAACAACCCAGACCGCCAGCUAAGGUCCCAAAGUCAUGGUUAAGUGGGAAACGAUGUGGGAAGGCCCAGACAGCCAGGAUGUUGGCUUAGAAGCAGCCAUCAUUUAAAGAAAGCGUAAUAGCUCACUGGUCGAGUCGGCCUGCGCGGAAGAUGUAACGGGGCUAAACCAUGCACCGAAGCUGCGGCAGCGAC
rnacentral:rRNA from 1 species